ACUUCUCAAUUCUCAUAGAAACCCUUGUGAAUGUGAUCAAAGAGAGAGUGAGCAAUAUAGAUAUCUGUAGGUAUGGAGGAGAAUAGAGAAAUUCUCAUAUUCUCAAAAAAGAAGAGAAUCAAACAGCAGCACGAACAGAAAAGUUUGUGCUCACAGCGAAUCAGCGAAUUACCAGAUUUUCACAGUAUGACCCACCUUCAAAUUCCUAGAACAUUCAUGGAUGCAGCCAUAUGAGGUGGGAGCGUGUAACCAGUGGUACAGAUCUUAACCACUGCUUGCACGUUCACAUGCCCAAGAUAUCCCAAGAAGAUUGUCAGACUCAACGAAAACUACUGACCACCUUGCGGAUAUCUUCCAGUAGGCCAUAUGAAGCGGGUGAACAAUAUCACUAUCAGAUAAUAUAUGAAGCGGGUGAACAAUAUCACUAUCAGAUAAUGUGUACAGUACGCUUAAUUACUAUGGAUUAUACUAGUUUCAAACCAUUGAUUGUACAAGUCAGAUCAGUGAUUUACCAGAUCUGCUAUUAGUUUUCAUUGCAAUGUGUAGUUUCACUAUCUCUUUAUUUAUUAUUAUGAAAUGAACAAAACAUUGUAUUUAGAAAGGAAGGUCAUGAAUGUCAAAGCCUGAACUUUA